AUGAACGCUGGCGGCGUGCCUUACACAUGCAAGUCGAGCGAGGCGUGUAGCAAUACACAGUCGAGCGGCGAACGGGUGAGUAACGCGUGGAUGACCUGCCCUUUAGCGGGGAAUAACCCGGGGAAACUCGGGCUAAUACCGCAUACGACCGAGAGGUGAAAGGGGGCUCGCAAGGGCUCUCGCUGAAGGAGGGGUCCGCGUCCGAUUAGCUAGUUGGUGGGGUAAUGGCCUACCAAGGCGACGAUCGGUAGCCGGCCUGAGAGGGUGAUCGGCCACACUGGAACUGAGACACGGUCCAGACUCCUACGGGAGGCAGCAGUGGGGAAUUUUGCGCAAUGGGCGAAAGCCUGACGCAGCAACGCCGCGUGGAGGAUGAAGGUCUUUGGAUCGUAAACUCCUGUCAGCAGGGAAAAAGCGAAUCGGCUUAAUACGUCGGUGAGUUGAUUGUACCUGCAGAGGAAGCCCCGGCUAACUCUGU
rnacentral:rRNA from 1 species